ACGCUCGACACCUACGGGAGGCAGCAGUGGGGAAUAUUGCACAAUGGGGGAAACCCUGAUGCAGCGACGCCGCGUGGAGGAAGAAGGUCUUCGGAUUGUAAACUCCUGUUGUUGGGGAAAAANGGAUGGUACCCCAACAAGGAAGUGACGGCUAACUACGUGCCCGCAGCCGCGGUAAUCUGAGCGGGCUGGCAAGGC
rnacentral:rRNA from 1 species